CCCAACUGCUCCUGUCUCCUGAGUGCUGGUAUUAAAUGCAUGCACCACUAAGCCCAGAUGUCAUGUAGGCCAUGCUGGCUUCAAAAUUCACUAAGUGGUCAUGGAUGACUUGAAUUUCUGACCCUCUUGCCUCCACCCACUGAGUGCAGGGAUUCCAGGUAUGCAUCAUCACUGCUACUUCAUGCUGUCCUGAGGAUUGGAACCAGAGCUUUUUGCAUGCUAGGUAAGUACUUUUCCAACAGACAAACAUCUCUGACCCCAUAUAUGGGUUGUUACUGUAUAGCCAGUGGUUGACAAGACUGUCAGAGGAGAGCUUCUGUGAGUUCCUGAAGAAGAGUACACCACUCAAGAAACAUGAAGACAUGAUCACUGCACCUCUUGAUGUCAUGUGACAAAUCUAAUCUCCAGUGGACAUGACUGGAACUUCAAAUGCAAUGCAUGUAAUCCUGUCAUACUGGCCUACACUAACUCUUCACCAUGCUACACUUGUGCUCUAUAUUGACCCAGAACCAAAAGCAACUCAGCUCUUGCCUGGAUACAAAUAACUCAUUUGGUCAUAAAACAAAUUAGCAAACAUCAAACACACAGAUUUGUUUUUAUACACAGAACCUUCAGUUGAAAAAAAACUGUCUCCCAUAAAAAAUCAUUUACAGAGAUAGUUUUCCCCUCACCUGUGUUUCUUUACAAGGCUGGAAGGAGAAGUUCUGCAGCACUUUAGUGAGAGCAAGUUUCAAGUUCAUGAGAGCAAACUUCAUGCCAAGGCAGUUCCUGGGUCCGUUACCAAAGGGCAGGUAUACAUAAGGAUUGAUGUUGCCCUUGUUCUCCUUGCUGAACCUGGAGACACAGAAUAAUGAUAAGUCAACAAAGGGUGGAAACAUAAGAGCUACAUACAUGUGUUUGCCUUUAGACAUCUAAAUAGUAACAUACAGGUACUUUGGGAAAGGAUCAUUGAACUUCAGCAUCCAGGUAU